rnacentral:tRNA from 2 species
AGGCGCGUAGCUCAGUGGUAGAGCACUACCUUGACAUGGUAGGGGUCGGCAGUUCAAUCCUGCCCGCGCCUACCA